GCAGUCGACGGGGUGUGUGGAAGGUAACGGAAGCACACUUAGUGGCGAACGGGUGAGGAAUAGGUAGGUAACGUACCCUGGACUCAGGAAUAGCGGCGUCCUUCGGGACUUUAGCGAAAGUGCCGGUAAUACCUGGUGACAUCACGAGAUCGCAUGGUCUUGUGAUCAAAGGUCCGCAGGUCUGGGAUCGGCCUAUCUCCCAUCAGCUUGUUGGUGAGGUAAUGGCUCACCAAGGCGGCGACGGGUACCAGGCGUGAGAGCGUGGUCUGGCACAUCGGGACUGAGACACUGCCCGGACAUCUACGGAUGGCUGCAGCAACGAAUAUUCCGCAAUGGACGAAAGUCUGACGGAGCGACGCCGCGUGCAGGACGAAGCGCUUCGGCGUGUAAACUGCUGUCAGGGGUUAGGAAGACAGUGACCAACCCCAAAGGAAGCCCCGGCUAAGUCCGUGCCAGCAGCCGCGGUAAUACGGACGGGGCAAGCGUUGUUCGGAAUUAUUGGGCUUAAAGCGUGUGUAGGCGGGAUGGAAGGUGCCUAGUGAAAGCCCCCGGCUCAACCGGGGAACUGCUGGGCAAACCACCAUUCUUGAGGUCAGCAGGGGAGCUUGGAACUUUGGGUGGAGCGGUGAAAUGCGUAGAUAUCCAAGGGAACGCCGGUGGCGAAAGCGGAGCUCUGGGCUGAUUCUGACGCUGAGGCACGAAAGCGUGGGGAGCAAACAGGAUUAGAUACCCUGGUAGUCCACGCCGUAAACGAUGCGCACUAGGUAUCAGCGCCUCUGACGGGGUUGGUGCCGUAGCAAA
rnacentral:rRNA from 1 species